rnacentral:rRNA from 1 species
UGGGGAAUUUUGGACAAUGGACGCAAGUCUGAUCCAGCCAUGCCGCGUGCGGGAAGAAGGCCUUCGGGUUGUAAACCGCUUUUGUCAGGGAAGAAACGAGUUUCUCUAAUACAGGGACUUAAUGACGGUACCUGAAGAAUAAGCACCGGCUAACUACGUGCCAGCAGCCGCGGUAAUACGUAGGGUGCAAGCGUUAAUCGGAAUUACUGGGCGUAAAGCGUGCGCAGGCGGUUAUGCAAGACAGAUGUGAAAUCCCCGGGCUCAACCUGGGACCUGCAUUUGUGACUGCAUCGCUGGAGUGCGGCAGAGGGGGAUGGAAUUCCGCGUGUAGCAGUGAAAUGCGUAGAUAUGCGGAGGAACACCGAUGGCGAAGGCAAUCCCCUGGGCCUGCACUGACGCUCAUGCACGAAAGCGUGGGGAGCAAACA